UGGUGGAGUGAUUUGUCUGGUUAAUUCCGUUAACGAACGAGACCUCAGCCUACUAAAUAGUCACAGGAACCUCGGUUCCUGCUUGACUUCUUAGAGGGACAUUCGGUUUCUAGCCGAAGGAAGUUUGAGGCAAUAACA
rnacentral:rRNA from 1 species